AACCGCUAGUGCUUUAAAAGUGAAAGUAACCUCUUUUCUUAGGGCAUUACUGACGCAAGAGGCAAGUGUGACAGUGAUAAAAUGGCUUCCAGACCUCCCAGAGGAUCUCUCCUGUCCUGUGUGCUGUGACAUCUUCAAGGAUUCUGUCCUGUCGUGUAGCCACAGCUUCUGUAAAAUCUGUCUGCAGGAAUACUGGAAAGGGAAUGAGUGUAAAGAGUGUCCAGUUUGCAGGAGUGGAUCGUCAAGACACGAACAUCCAUGUAACCUGGUUUUAAAAAACCUGUGUGAGGCCUGCUUACAGGAGGGAAGUCAGAGAGCUUCAGAAGAGUUGCUCGACAUUCUGCACAACUUCCAGAAAACACACAAACCACAAGUUCUGUUCCAUAGACGAAGCUGCACAGGAUAAGAAGGUCCAGCACACUGAGAAGCUGAUGAAGGACGAGUUUUAGAAAACGCCACCAGUUUCUACGAGAUGAAAAAAGCAAGCAGGAUAGCUGCUCUGAGGGAGGAAGAGGAACAGAAGAGUCAGAUGACGGAGAUGGGAGAGGUAUGACUUUGACACAAUCAAUCAGAACCAUAGAUGGGGAGAUGAGAGCUGAAGACAUUUCAUUCCUGAGGUAAGAACCAACAUCUUUGUCCUUAGUAGACAUUCUUUAGAUUUGUUUGAUAACUAUGUUGAUAAUAUUGAUUAACUGCUAUGUUGUUCCUCUACAGAACUACAAAGGCCACCUUGGAAAGGUAAGCUGCCCCGUGUCUCUCUGCUUUCUGCAGUUCUGAACCCAACCCCACAGGAACACUGACUCCUGAAUGUUUUUCCAGAGCACACUGCCAGAUCCAGAGGGUUUCAGGAACACUGACAGACAUGAUCAAACACCUAGAGGCUGAAGUUCAGAGAAGAUACAGGCGAUAGUUCAGUACAGUAAGUGUUGUUUUGUGAUUACAUAAUGGAAAUUACAUUUUGAAAUAAAAAGGAGAUGCACUCGCGAGCACACACACACACACCUCUGCUGGAAAUUACAGUAUACCAUUUCGUACAAAUUGGGACACCAUAUAUAUAUUUUAAAAAAACAUGUAUGACCUUGUAAAACAAGACAAACUACAGUGCUCUGUUUAGCUCCCGUGAAUUUGGGUCCCAACACUGCUCACCCACAUCUCAUCCUCUCUAAAGAUCUCACCACUGUGAGAUCCAGUAGAGAAACGGUUAGAGCAAUCCGAGAGAGAUUUGAUUAAAUUAUCCUGAGCUCAGAGGGCUGUGACUCAGAGACACACAGUUGUGACAUUGCGGUUGGAGACAGUACAGACUUGAUUGUCAGUGUGAUGCCAGAGUCUGUCCUCAGGAAGGGAAUCAGCCCUGGGAUGAAAUCUUGGGAAUAAAGCGCUGGUAUGAUGCAUACACAACCCUAAGGGACAGACUCCUCACAGUGAGACAGAAACCCCAGAAGAUCAGAGUGCUGUUGGAUUGGGACAGAGGUAAGCUGUUAUUCUCUGAUCCUGACAAUACUGAGGACAAAAGGGGGUGCAACUCGGGGUGGCAGGUAGCCUAGUGGUUAGAGCAUUGGGCCAGUAACUGAAAGGUAGCUGGAUCAAAUCCCUGAGCUGACAAGGUAAAAAUGUAAUUCUGCCCCUGAACAAGGCAGUUAACCCACUGUUCCCCGGGAGGCCGUCAUUGUAAAUAAGAAUUUGUUCUUAACUGACUUGCCUAAUCAAAUGAAGGUUAAAGAAAAUCAUAAAAUCAAUAUUAGGAGCAUGUUCAUAAUGUUUUGUCCACUCAAGGUAUGUAUAAGAACAGAACAGCAGCUAGAGCUGAUAGCAACUGCCAAAAUAAUGGAAACACUUGAAUAAAUGAGGGAUACAAAGUAUAUUUAAAGUAGGUGCUUCCACACAGGUGUGGUUCCUCAGUUAAUUAAGCAAUUAACAUCGCAUCAUGCUUUGGGUCAUGUAUAAAAAUGCUGGGCAGGCCAUUAUUUUGGCUACCAUGGUUAUGCCCCCAUAGGAUGACAGUGCCUCCAUCCACAGGGCACACGAGUGGUCACUGAAUGGUUUGAUGAGCAUGAAAACUAAUGUAAACCAUAUGCCAUGGCCAUCUCCGUCACCAGAUCUCAACCCAAUUGAACACUUAAGGGAGAUUCUGGAGCGGCGCCUGAGACAGCGGCGAAUAACCACACUAGCGUCCUAAAUAGUAGGCCUUUUGAGUAUGCAAACAAUAGCAUGUGACAUUUCGAAAAUGUAGUAUGCUUUAAAAGCCAGGAUGUCAUACUCAUUUCGGCUUCUCAUGUAGUAUGAAUGAAUUGUAAACUUUUCGGGAGUGUCUCACACACACACACACACACACACAAUGCAUUCAAACCAGAUAGGAGGGCUUCAAAAUGUGAUAGUUCUCUGAAGGUAAACAAAAAAAGAAAUUGAAGAUAGCUAAGAAAACGAGCAAAGAGUCUCCUGUUCAGAUGCAAGUAAUUUUUUUUGUCCUUAAAAGGAUCAUGACCAUUUAAUCGUAUCUUUGAAAACAGAUUGUUAUUUGCAGCAUGCCGUGCCUUUUACUUUAGCUAAAUACGUUAACUAUGUGCUUUAGUAGGACUUGAAGUUGAAUGAAUACCCGAUAAGCUUGCUGUUAUUGAGCAACAACUUCAUAUUUAACCUAGCUAGCCAGUUAUAUAUGCGAAGCUGUAGCAAAGUAGUAACACUACCCCCGUGGCAUACUGUAUACUUUUUACUAAACAUUAUACAUCACAAAUAGUAUGCGAAGAUGAGUACAUACUAUGCAGUUUAAGUACAUUGUACGCUAGUAUGGGUAUUUGGACACGGCCAGCGUUUUUCACCACCAUCAACAAAACACCAAAUGAUGGAAUUUCUUGUUGAAGAAGGGUAUCCCUCCAAUAGAGUUCCGGACAGAUUGUAGAAUCUAUGCCAAGGUGCAUUGAAGCAGUUCUGGCCCGUGGUGGCCCAUUGCCCUAUUAAAGAUGCAUUAUGUUUGCGUUUCCUUUAUUUUGGCAGUUACCUGUAUGUGUAAGUGGAACAGUACAGUUAAGCCUAAUUUAUCAGAGAAUCAGACCCAAAAUGUACAUAUCUAUAUACUAGAUUGAUAGUCUUAAAUCUGUAUUAAGCUUAAAAAUGAAUUACCCAGGCAAGGAAGUACUGAAUAAAAUAUGAUUUAUUUGUCAAAGUAGAGAGAUCACAGGAGAGAUCCCCUAGGAUUUUUUCCCCCAGUGGUGGUAAGGGUAAGGGGGGGGGGCGGGCGGCGGCUCUAUUGCUGCUAGUGCUCGCACAAUGAUAUGCUAGCUGUUCCCAUAGACUUCCAGUUAUUGAGCCAAUGACUAUCCAUUUAAAAGUGCGUCUGCAGAAAUAAAUAAAAAUGAUUUUUUUUUUUGCAGGACACACACAGUGACAUACAAAGGCACACAGCCGUACACACACACAUUGUGGAUAAAGAGUUACCUGACUAACCGAACACAGACGGUGUUCUUUAAUGGAAGCCUCUCCAACAUAAUCCAGGUAGAAUCAGGAUUUCCCCAGGGCAGCUGUCUAGGCCCAUUACUUUUUUCAAUCUUUACUAAUGAAUUGCCACUGGCUUUGAGGAAAGCCAGAGUGUUUAUGUAUGCGGAGGACUCAACACUAUACAUGUCAUCUACUACAGCGACUGAAAUGACUGCAACACCUGAAGAGUUGCAGUUAGUUUCAGAGUGGGUGGCAAGGACUAUGCUAGUCCUAAAUAUUUCUAAAACUAAAAGCAUUGUAUUUGGGACAAAUCAUUCACCAAACCCUAAAACCUCAACUAAAUCUUGUAAUAAAUAAUAUGGAAAUUGAGCAAGUUGAGGUGACUUAACUACUUGGAGUUACCCUGGAUUGUAAAAACUGUCAUGGUCAAACAUAUUUGAUACAACAGUAGCUAAGAUGGGGAGAAGCAUGUCCAUGAUAAGGCGCUGCUCUACCUUCUUGACAGCACUGUCAGUAGGGCAGGUCCUACAGGCCCUGGUUUUGUCGCACCUGGACUACUGUUCAGUAGUGUGGUCAGGUGCCACAAAAAAGUACUUAGGAAAAUUGCAAUUGGUUCAGAACAGGGCAGCAGGGCUGGCCCUUGGAUGUACACAGAGCUGAUAUUACGAAUAUGCGUGUCAAUCUCUCCUGUCUCAAAGUGGAGGAGAGAUUGACUUCAUCACUGCUUGUAUUUAAGAGAUGUAUUGACAUGUUGAACGCCCCGAGCUGUCUGUAAAGUAAAUGCACGUUACUCUUUUUGUGCGAGUGUUUACCCAGCUAUCAGGGAAAAAUGCACUGAAAGUAUAAAAAGUGUUACUUCAUUCACCACCAAUGGCAAUUAGCUUUUACCCACCAAUUUUAUUUACCACUACAUCACUGGAUAGAACGUCCUGUAACGUGAAACAACUGAAACUCUUUGGCCAGAAUUCAAUAUUUGCAGAUAGUUUUCUGCACUGUUUUCAGAAGUGCAUUUGACUUGCAGAGCAGCAUGUCCUGGUUGGAGUGAAAUUACACUAUUUAGAAACCGUCAGUGCUGUUGCUAGGAUGUGCUGCUGUCUGUACUGAUUGGGAUAAACCACAGGACUGCCGAUUUCUAAAUCAAGUGUCGGCUCCCUCCAACAGGCACACACUGCUGUGCAAAUGAAACUUCAGAAGUGUAGUGAAAA